UUUGUUAAAGUUAAAUCAUAUAUCCAUGUCAAAAUUCUUUCUUUUAUCCUUCUUGAAAGGAAGAGAAAAAUGACGAAAAUAUAAUAUCAUUCCGGCAACAGAGAACUCUGCGGCAAAUGCUGCACUGACAUGACCACCCAAGGCAACAAGACCAAGUGCCCUUAAACCCCCCUUCCCUCCCUCCCUAUGUCUCUUCCAACUGGGUCGCCUUUCUUCUCCUGUCUUCCUUCAACUCUGUCUUAAUGCUUUCUCGUGUGUUUUCACCAGUGUUUUUCAUGGUAUAUAUGUUUGAGCUUCAGUGUAUAUAUAUAUAUAUAUAUUUACCUAUGUUUCCUUGAGCAUCUUUUUCUUAAGGAAUCUCUAUAACAAAUUACAUGGCUUUAAUUUCACAAAAAGAAAAAAAAAACCGAA
rnacentral:lncRNA from 1 species